GAUGAACGCUGGCGGCGUGCUUAACACAUGCAAGUCGAACGAACCUUCGGGUUAGUGGCGGACGGGUGAGUAACGCGUGAGAAUCUGCCCUCAGGAGGGGGACAACAGCUGGAAACGGCUGCUAAUACCCCAUAUGCCGCGAGGUGAAAUGAAUUUCGCCUGAGGAUGAGCUCGCGUCUGAUUAGCUAGUUGGUGUAGGUAAUGGCUCACCAAGGCAUCGAUCAGUAGCUGGUCUGAGAGGGUGAUCAGCCACAUUGGGACUGAGACACGGCCCAAACUCCUACGGGAGGCAGCAGUGGGGAAUCUUGCACAAUGGAGGAAACUCUGAUGCAGCGAUGCCGCGUGAGUGAAGAAGGCCUUUGGGUUGUAAAGCUCUUUCGUCGGGGAAGAAAAUGACUGUACCCGAAUAAGAAGGUCCGGCUAACUUCGUG
rnacentral:rRNA from 1 species